GUGCCUACGGGGGGCAGCAGUGAGGAAUAUUGGUCAAUGGGCGGAAGCCUGAACCAGCCAAGUCGCGUGAGGGAAGAAGGCCCUGCGGGUCGCAGACCUCUUUGGACGGGGAGCAAGGCCGCCGACGUGUCGGCGGAAGGAGAGUACCCGUAGAACAAGCAUCGGCUAACUCCGUGCCAGCAGCCGCGGUAAUACGGAGGAUGCGAGCGUUAUCCGGAUUUAUUGGGUUUAAAGGGUGCGUAGGCGGGAUGCCAAGUCAGCGGUAAAAAUGCGGUGCUCAACGCCGUCGAGCCGUUGAAACUGGC
rnacentral:rRNA from 1 species